UACGAAGGGGGCUAGCGUUGUUCGGAUUUACUGGGCGUAAAGCGCGUGUAGGCGGGCUGGAAAGUUGGGGGUGAAAUCCCGAGGCUCAACCUCGGAACUGCCUCCAAAACUUCCAGCCUGGACCCAAGUAGAGGCAAGUGGAAUACCGAGUGUAGAGGUGAAAUUCGUAGAUAUUCGGUGGAACACCAGUGGCGAAGGCGACUUGCUGGACUUGUGGUGACGCUGAGACGCGAAAGCGUGGGGAGCAAAC
rnacentral:rRNA from 1 species